rnacentral:rRNA from 1 species
GACGAACCGUGCGAACGUUGUUCGGAAUCACUGGGCUUAAAGGGCGCGUAGGCGGGCCGGCCGGUCCGGGGUGAAAGCCCCCAGCUCAACUGGGGAAGCGCCCUGGAUACCGCCGGCCUCGAGGGGGGUAGGGGCGCGCGGAACUUCCGGUGGAGCGGUGAAAUGCGUAGAUAUCGGAAGGAACACCGGUGGCGAAGGCGGCACGCUGGGCCCUUGCUGACGCUGAGGCGCGAAAGCCAGGGGAGCAAACGGG